rnacentral:rRNA from 1 species
UACAGAGGUCUCAAGCGUUGUUCGGAUUCAUUGGGCGUAAAGCGCACGUAGGCGGCUUUCUAAGUCAGGGGUGAAAUCCUGGAGCUCAACUCCAGAACUGCCUUUGAUACUGGAGAGCUUGAGUCCGGAAGAGGUGAGUGGAACUCCGAGUGUAGAGGUGAAAUUCGUAGAUAUUCGGAAGAACACCAGUGGCGAAGGCGGCUCACUGGUCCGGUACUGACGCUGAUGUGCGAAAGCGUGGGGAGCAAACAGG